GCUGGUACUGGGCCGCACUGCUUCUUACCAGGCCUCCUCCCAGGGUUUCUGCAGAUUUCUGGCCCAGCUGCACCGCGCGCCUGAGCACAGAUGCGUGAGAUAAACCUGCGUAAGGAGGAGAAUCCCAGCUCGCCCCAGCCUGGGUCCUGGGCACAGCUCCCCGGAGCAGCGUUCUGAGAAGGGUGAUCUAAAUUACACACGGAAGACGAGGCGGAGCCGAACUCAAGCUCACCGAGAACAGAAUGUUGCCAGAAAGUAUGCUUCUGCUUUAAGAGUCAGAAACUCAAGCACCAAACGGAAGGGCACUGCUCCUGUGAAAACAUGUGGAAGGUUUUGUUUGCCUGUAAACUUCUUGUGUACCGUCCAGGUGAGUCGCUGAGAUCCCACUGAAGGAAUAAAAUCUUGGAAUAUGGAAUCAUUCUCAGAACAAAGAAAGGUAAGAAUCACAAUGUGCCCUACAAAUGAAUGAAAUAUAGUGCUUGGCUCUGAGACACUGAUCCCAUGAAAGCACUGUCAGCUGACACAAGCCUUGGACUAUUGGAUCUGUGUGGUCAUAGGAACAAUGGCUGAAGAAACUACAAUAUACAAAAUUUGAUCACAAAUAUGACAAAUGUUCAAAUUUUUUAAAAAUUUGUUUUAGUAAAAUACAUGUUGCCACUAAUCCACCUCAAAAUACUCCCCUCAGUCGAACACACUUAUCCCAUCUUUUUUGCCACUUUAUGAAACAGUUAUGGAAGUCCUUGUUCAUGAGUGUCUUUAGUUGUCCCGUGGUAGCUGGUUCAAUGUCUUGAAUCCAUUCAAAAUGUUUACCUUGCAUGAUCAUUUUGACUUUGGAGAAGAGUCAGAACCCCAUGGUGUCACAUCCUAUGAAUAAGGUGGAUGAGGUAACUCCAUAAUGCUUUUAUUUGACAGGAAUUGCUACAGAU